AGCGAACGCUGGCGGCAGGCCUAACACAUGUAAGUCGAACGGACCCUUCGGGGUUAGUGGCGGACGGGUGAGUAACACGUGGGAACGUGCCUUUAGGUUCGGAAUAGCUCCUGGAAACGGGUGGUAAUGCCGAAUGUGCCCUUCGGGGGAAAGAUUUAUCGCCUUUAGAGCGGCCCGCGUCUGAUUAGCUAGUUGGUGGUGUAACGGACCACCAAGGCGACGAUCAGUAGCUGGUCUGAGAGGAUGAUCAGCCACAUUGGGACUGGGACACGGCCCAAACUCCUACGGGAGGCAGCAGUGGGGAAUCUUGCGCAAUGGGCGAAAGCUUGACGCAGCCAUGCCGCGUGAAUGAUGAAGGUCUUAGGAUUGUAAAAUUCUUUCACCGGGGACGAUAAUGACGGUACCCGGAGAAGAAGCCCCGGCUAACUUCGUGCCAGCCGCCGCUGUAACAC
rnacentral:rRNA from 1 species